AGCGGCAGACGGGAGAGUAACACGUGGGAACGUGCCCUUCAGUACGGAACAACCCAGGGAAACUUGGGCUAAUACCGGAUACGUCCGUAAGGAGAAAGAUUUAUCGCUGAAGGAUCGGCCCGCGUCUGAUUAGCUAGUUGGUGAGGUAACGGCUCACCAAGGCGACGAUCAGUAGCUGGUCUGAGAGGAUGAUCAGCCUCACUGGGACUGAGACACGGCCCAGACUCCUACGGGAGGCAGCAGUGGGGAAUAUUGGACAAUGGGCGCAAGCCUGAUCCAGCUAUGCCGCGUGGGUGAUGAAGGCCCUAGGGUUGUAAAGCCCUUUCGGCGGGGAAGAUAAUGACGGUACCCGCAGAAGAAGCCCCGGCUAACUUCGUGCCAGCAGCCGCGGUAAUACGAAGGGGGGCUAGCGUUUGCUCGGAAUCACUGGGCGUAAAGCGCACGUAGGCCGGCUUUUUUAAGUCAGGGGUGAAAACCCUGGAGCUCAACUCCCGAACCGGCCUUUUAA
rnacentral:rRNA from 1 species